GAGUUUGAUCCUGGCUCAGAUUGAACGCUGGCGGCAUGCCUUACACAUGCAAGUCGAACGGCAGCAUGAUCUAGCUUGCUAGAUCGAUGGCGAGUGGCGAACGGGUGAGUAAUACAUCGGAACGUGCCCUGUAGUGGGGGAUAACUAGUCGAAAGAUUAGCUAAUACCACAUACGACCUGAGGGUGAAAGUGGGGGACCGCAAGGCCUCAUGCUAUAGGAGCGGCCGAUGUCUGGUUAGCUAGUUGGUGGGGUAAAGGCCCACCAAGGCGACGAUCAGUAGCUGGUCUGAGAGGACGAUCAGCCACACUGGGACUGAGACACGGCCCAGACUCCUACGGGAGGCAGCAGUGGGGAAUUUUGGACAAUGGGCGAAAGCCUGAUCCAGCAAUGCCGCGUGUGUGAAGAAGGCCUCGG
rnacentral:rRNA from 1 species